ACGUUAGCGGCGGACGGGUGAGUAACACGUGGGUAACCUACCUAUAAGACUGGGAUAACUUCGGGAAACCGGAGCUAAUACCGGAUAAUAUUCGAACCGCAUGGUUCGAUAGUGAAAGAUGGUUUUGCUAUCACUUAUAGAUGGACCCGCGCCGUAUUAGCUAGUUGGUAAGGUAACGGCUUACCAAGGCGACGAUACGUAGCCGACCUGAGAGGGUGAUCGGCCACACUGGAACUGAGACACGGUCCAGACUCCUACGGGAGGCAGCAGUG
rnacentral:rRNA from 1 species